rnacentral:rRNA from 1 species
AUUGAACGCUGGCGGCAUGCUUUACACAUGCAAGUCGAACGGUAACAGGCCGCAAGGUGCUGACGAGUGGCGAACGGGUGAGUAAUGCAUCGGAACGUGCCCAGUCGUGGGGGAUAACGCAGCGAAAGCUGUGCUAAUACCGCAUACGAUCUAUGGAUGAAAGCGGGGGACCGUAAGGCCUCGCGCGAUUGGAACGGCCGAUGUCAGAUUAGGUAGUUGGUGGGGUAAAGGCUCACCAAGCCAACGAUCUGUAGCUGGUCUGAGAGGACGACCAGCCACACUGGGACUGAGACACGGCCCAGACUCCUACGGGAGGCAGCAGUGGGGAAUUUUGGACAAUGGGCGCAAGCCUGAUCCAGCAAUGCCGCGUGCAGGAAGAAGGCCUUCGGGUUGUAAACUGCUUUUGUACGGAACGAAAAGGUUUGGGUUAAUACCCUGGGCCGAUGACGGUACCGUAAGAAUAAGCACCGGCUAACUACGUGCCAGCAGCCGCCGUAA